UACAGAGGUCCCGAGCGUUGUUCGGAUUCAUUGGGCGUAAAGGGUACGUAGGCGGUCGGGUAAGUCUGAUGUGAAAUCUCACAGCUUAACUGUGAAACUGCAUUGGAUACUAUCCGGCUUGAGGAAUGGAGGGGAGACUGGAAUACUUGGUGUAGCAGUGAAAUGCGUAGAUAUCAAGUGGAACACCAGUGGCGAAGGCGGCCCGCUGGGCAGUGGCUGACGCUGAAGCGCGACAGCGUGGGGAGCAAACAGG
rnacentral:rRNA from 1 species